GGCCCUUCGGGGUACUCGAGUGGCGAACGGGUGAGUAACACGUGGGUGAUCUGCCCUGCACUUCGGGAUAAGCCUGGGAAACUGGGUCUAAUACCGGAUAUGACUGCGGCCUUCAUGGGUUGUGGUGGAAAGCUUUUGCGGUGUGGGAUGGGCCCGCGGCCUAUCAGCUUGUUGGUGGGGUAAUGGCCUACCAAGGCGACGACGGGUAGCCGGCCUGAGAGGGUGUCCGGCCACACUGGGACUGAGAUACGGCCCAGACUCCUACGGGAGGCAGCAGUGGGGAAUAUUGCACAAUGGGCGCAAGCCUGAUGCAGCGACGCCGCGUGAGGGAUGACGGCCUUCGGGUUGUAAACCUCUUUCAGCAGGGACGAAGCGCAAGUGACGGUACCUGUAGAAGAAGGACCGGCCAACUACGUGCCAGCAGCCGCGGUAAUACGUAGGGUCCGAGCGUUGUCCGGAAUUACUGGGCGUAAAGAGCUCGUAGGUGGUUUGUCGCGUUGUUCGUGAAAACUCACAGCUUAACUGUGGGCGUGCGGGCGAUACGGGCAGACUUGAGUACUGCAGGGGAGACUGGAAUUCCUGGUGUAGCGGUGGAAUGCGCAGAUAUCAGGAGGAACACCGGUGGCGAAGGCGGGUCUCUGGGCAGUAACUGACGCUGAGGAGCGAAAGCGUGGGGAGCGAACAGGAUUAGAUACCCUGGUAGUCCACGCCGUAAACGGUGGGUACUAGGUGUGGGUUUCCUUCCUUGGGAUCCGUGCCGUAGCUAACGCAUUAAGUACCCCGCCUGGGGAGUACGGCCGCAAGGCUAAAACUCAAAGAAAUUGACGGGGGCCCGCACAAGCGGCGGAGCAUGUGGAUUAAUUCGAUGCAACGCGAAGAACCUUACCUGGGUUUGACAUGCACAGGACGUGCCUAGAGAUAGGUAUUCCCUUGUGGCCUGUGUGCAGGUGGUGCAUGGCUGUCGUCAGCUCGUGUCGUGAGAUGUUGGGUUAAGUCCCGCAACGAGCGCAACCCUUAUCUUAUGUUGCCAGCGCGUAAUGGCGGGGACUCGUGAGAGACUGCCGGGGUCAACUCGGAGGAAGGUGGGGAUGACGUCAAGUCAUCAUGCCCCUUAUGUCCAGGGCUUCACACAUGCUACAAUGGCCGGUACAAAGGGCUGCGAUGCCGUGAGGUGGAGCGAAUCCUUUCAAAGCCGGUCUCAGUUCGGAUCGGGGUCUGCAACUCGACCCCGUGAAGUCGGAGUCGCUAGUAAUCGCAGAUCAGCAACGCUGCGGUGAAUACGUUCCCGGGCCUUGUACACACCGCCCGUCACGUCAUGAAAGUCGGUAACACCCGAAGCCGGUGGCC
rnacentral:rRNA from 1 species